GCAACUUGAAGACGCACGACGACGGCGACGAUGCUGUCGUUCCGGCGGAACGUUUUGUGCAGACCGGAGGGAUGAAAUUAAAAUUUACUGUGAUGUGUAUACUCCACGCCACCGCCCUAUAAAUGCAGAAUUAAGAAAACUCGCAUGGCAGGAGAUAUGCGUUUUUUAUAGUUCCCAAAUUACAAAUCCAAAAACUACCAAAGAGAUAUGCAAAUGAGAUAUAAUAAUUGGGAAACUAUUAUCAAAAGUUUUGGUGAUAGUGUUGUAGAAUUAGGAAUAGA